rnacentral:rRNA from 1 species
GACGAACGCUGGCGGCGUGCCUAAUACAUGCAAGUCGAGCGAAGUUUUUCUAGUGCUUGCACCGGAAAAACUUAGCGGCGAACGGGUGAGUAACACGUAAAGAACCUGCCUCAUAGACUGGGACAACUAUUGGAAACGAUAGCUAAUACCGGAUAACAGCAUUAACUGCAUGGUUGAUGUUUAAAAGUUGGUUUUGCUAACACUAUGAGAUGGCUUUGCGGUGCAUUAGCUAGUUGGUGGGGUAAAGGCCUACCAAGGCGACGAUGCAUAGCCGACCUGAGAGGGUGAUCGGCCACACUGGGACUGAGACACGGCCCAGACUCCUACGGGAGGCAGCAGUAGGGAAUCUUCCGCAAUGGGCGAAAGCCUGACGGAGCAACGCCGCGUGAGUGAAGAAGGAUUUCGGUUCGUAAAGCUCUGUUGUUAGGGAAGAAUGAUUGUGUAGUAACUAUACACAGUAGAGACGGUGCCUAACCAGAAAGCCACGGCUAACUACGUGCCAGCAGCCGCGGUAAUACGUAGGUGGCAAGCGUUGUCCGGAAUUAUUGGGCGUAAAGCGCGCGCAGGUGGUUUAAUAAGUCUGAUGUGAAAGCCCACGGCUCAACCGUGGAGGGUCAUUGGAAACUGUUAAACUUGAGUGCAGGAGAGAAAAGUGGAAUUCCUAGUGUAGCGGUGAAAUGCGUAGAGAUUAGGAGGAACACCAGUGGCGAAGGCGGCUUUUUGGCCUGUAACUGACACUGAGGCGCGAAAGCGUGGGGAGCAAACAGG